CCUACGGGAGACAGCAGUGGGGAAUAUUGCACAAUGGGUGAAACCCUGAUGCAGCAACGCCGCGUGAAGGAAGCCGGUUUUCUGAUUUUAAACUUCUUUUCUUAGUGAAUAAUAAUGACGCUAGCUCAGGAGCAAGCCACGGCUAACUACUUGCCAGCAGCCGCGGUAAUACGUAGUUGGCAAGCGUUGUCCGGAAUUACUGGGUGUAUAGGGAGCGCAGGCGGGAAGACAAGUCAGCUGUGAAAACUACGGGCUUAACUUGUAGACUGCAGGUGAAACUGGUUUUCUUGAGUGAAGUAGAGGUUGGCGGAAUUCCGAGGGUAGCGGUGAAAUGCGUAGAUAUUCGGAGGAACACCGGUGGCGAAGGCGGCCAACUGGGCUUUAACUGACGCUGAGGCUCGAAAGUGUGGGGAGCAAACAGGAUUAGAUACCCGGGUAGUC
rnacentral:rRNA from 1 species